UACGUAGGGUGCGAGCGUUAAUCGGAAUUACUGGGCGUAAAGCGUGCGCAGGCGGUUUUGUAAGUCAGAUGUGAAAUCCCCCGAGCUCAACUUGGGAACUGCGUUUUGAAACUACAAGACUAGAAUAUGUCAGAGGGGGGGUAGAAUUCCACGUGUAGCAGUGAAAUGCGUAGAGAUGUGGAGGAAUACCAAUGGCGAAGGCAGCCCCCCUGGGAUC
rnacentral:rRNA from 1 species